rnacentral:rRNA from 1 species
CCUACGGGCGGCAGCAGUGAGGAAUAUUGGUCAAUGGCCGAGAGGCUGAACCAGCCAAGUCGCGUGAGGGAAGACGGCCCUACGGGUUGUAAACCUCUUUUGUCGGGGAGCAAAGAGAGUCACGUGUGACUCCUUGAGAGUACCCGGAGAAAAAGCAUCGGCUAACUCCGUGCCAGCAGCCGCGGUAAUACGGAGGAUGCGAGCGUUAUCCGGAUUUAUUGGGUUUAAAGGGUGCGCAGGCGGAGGUGCAAGUCAGCGGUAAAAUUGCGGGGCUCAACCCCGUACUGCCGUUGAAACUGCAUUUCUUGAGUGGGCGAGAAGUAUGCGGAAUGCGUGGUGUAGCGGUGAAAUGCAUAGAUAUCACGCAGAACUCCGAUUGCGAAGGCAGCAUACCGGCGCGCAAUUGACGCUCAUGCACGAAAGCGUGGGUAUCGAACAGGAUUAGAUACCCCUGUAGUC